rnacentral:rRNA from 1 species
GACGAACGCUGGCGGCGUGCUUAACACAUGCAAGUCGAACGGAAAGGCCCUGCUUUUGUGGGGUGCUCGCGUGGCGAACGGGUGAGUAACCCGUGAGUAUCCUGCCCUUGACUUUGGGAUAACUUCAGGCAACUGGGGCUAAUACCGGCUAGGAGCUCCUGCUGCAUGGUGGGGGUUGGAAAGCUUCGGCGGUUGGGGAUGGACUCCCGGGUAAUCAGCUUGUUGGUGGGGUAGUGGCUUACCAAGGCUUUGACGGGUAGCCGGCCUGAGAGGGGGGCCAGCGACAUGGGGACUGAGGGACGGCCCAGACUGCUACGGGAGACAGUAGUGGGAAAUAUUGCACAGUGGGCGGAAGCCUGAUGCAGCAGCGCCGGGAGCGGGAUGACGGCCUACGGGUGGUAAACCGCUUUCGCCUGUGACGAAGCGUGAGUGACGGUAAUAGGUAAAGAAGCACCGGCUAACUACGUG